rnacentral:rRNA from 1 species
UACGUAGGGUGCAAGCGUUAAUCGGAAUUACUGGGCGUAAAGCGUGCGCAGGCGGUUCGUUGUGUCGGUGGUGAAAUCCCCGGGCUUAACCUGGGAAUGGCCAUGGAAACUGGCGAACUGGAGUGCGGCAGAGGGGGGUGGAAUUCCGCGUGUAGCAGUGAAAUGCGUAGAGAUGCGGAGGAACACCGAUGGCGAAGGCAGCCCCCCUGGGCUGACACUGACGCUCAGGCACGAAAGCGUGGGGAGCAAACAGG